GGUCAGGUGGUGUAAUGGUUAACACCCCUGUUAUAUAUACACAAGCCCUGGGUUCAAUACCCAGUCUGGCCA